rnacentral:rRNA from 1 species
AGUGAACGCUGGCGGCGUGCUUAACACAUGCAAGUCGAACGAGAACGGAUUAUAGCUUGCUAUAAUUGUCAGCUAAGUGGCGCACGGGUGAGUAAUGUAUAGGUAAUAUGCCUCUUACUAAGGGAUAACAAAUGGAAACGUUUGCUAAUACCUUAUACUCCUUAUUAACAGAAGUUAAUAAGGGAAAGAUUUAUUGGUAAGAGAUUAGCCUGUAUUGUAUCAGUUAGUUGGUGGGGUAAUGGCUUACCAAGACUAUGACACAUAACUGGUUUGAGAGGAUGAUCAGUCAAACUGGAACUGCGACACGGUCCAGGCUCCUGCGGGAGGCAGCAGUGGGGAAUAUUGCACAAUGGACGAAAGUCUGAUGCAGCAACGCCGCGUGGAGGAUGACACAUUUCGGUGCGUAAACUCCUUUUAUAUGAGAAGAUAAUGACGGUAUUAUAUGAAUAAGCACCGGCUAACUCCGUGCCAGCCGCCGCAGUAA